CAGGAGGAGCGUGCCGUUAGGCGCCGUGGGAUUCGGGGAACCGCAAGCUGCGAUUGCUGGCUUUUCUGCGCACACGGUCGGGAGCUGAGGUCCGCGGGGAGGGGAGGACAGGAACUAGCAGGGCUGGGUGAUGGCGCAGCCGAUGUGACCGGAGAGUGCAGGAGCCGUCUCGGGCCUCGGCCUGAAACCCUCCGAGGCCCGUGGCCUGCAGAAGGGCCCCCUCCGAGGACAAAUGACUGAAUUUUGGAAGGUGAGAAAUCACCUUCAUUCCCCACCAGAAAAAAAUUAAACCAAUGCUGUGGACUCCCGCAGUGAUUUACUUCUGAGAGAAACCUUCAAAUAUGAGCACAAGGCGUAAGAACCCAGUAUGUUUAGGUGCCAGUCUCAACUUCCAGUUCAAUGGAGCCAUUGCUGUGUCCUCUGACAGACAUUAUUGCCCCUUUAGAUGGCCCGUGUAUUCUGGCUGUGGGAGAAACAGAACCAAGAAGUGGUCACUAGCUUGAAGUUCACGAAGGACAGCACCCCAGACUUGCAAGGUGGCUUAUCUGUGUGACUUCUCAUUCAACCUCUCUUCGUCUAUUUCUUGUGCUCCAGCAAGACCCUGAGAAGCUGCUGCUGCCAACCUGUGUGACAUAGCCACACUAUUGUGAACGGGGUUUUCCUUUUUGCCCCAAAAGUCUGAUUGCUUACUUGAUUGACUGCCAGUCCAUCGUAACUGUGAGAGGAGAGCUUCGGAGAGCAGUGAACGACCUCCCUCGACAUGUGGGCACAGGACACUGCAACAAGAUUAAUUCACAUCCAGAUUUUGAUAAACUACAAUCACAUCUCAGGAAAAUGCAAGUUAAAAUGCUUCAUUUAAUACUGUUUUAAGUUGGUCCCAGAAUGGUGUUGUAGUAAAACGCACUAUGAGCUUAAUGAGUUUCUAUUUCCAUCUGCAUCAAUUCUGUAUUACAAGCUUUUGAAGCAUUUUUCAGCUGGUCCCUCUCGAUUACUGCUCUUAUUCUUUCAGCCGUGGGUGUGUAAGGCUCCUCACAAGCCUCUCACACUGAGCACAUAUUCCUUCCUUUGUGCAGUCUCCUGAUCCUUGCAUGCCCUCUUGCAUCCAAUCCCACAUAUCCAGCCCCAAAUCUCCCCUUUUCCAAAGUCUUCCUGGGUCUCCUUUAAUCCUCAGCUCUCCUAUCUCACUUCCUUUUGCACUGUUUGUGUAAUAUUUAUUGUACCACAGAGACAACCCUCAACAAGCAAGUGAGUUGUGUUCAAGUAUUUAAAAGUCCCUUCUUUCCUAUUUGGACCUCAAGAUGCAUUUAUAAAUUCAGAGAUUGUGCCCGACUGUAUUUUCCAAAUAUGGUUGCAACAGUAGCUCCUCAUGACCCUUUCUAGAACCUUCCCACUUCCUCAUCAAGAGAUAGUCUAAUUUCCCUCUCCUGGGAUCUGGACAGGCUUAUGACUCACUUUGUAACCAACAGAAGUGAUGACACCUGAUUUCUGAGGCUAGCUCAAAAGAGGAAAGCCAUUUUUUUCCUGAGAGCUGGACCUGUUUCUUGAAGCUCUCAGCAGCCAUGUGAGCAGACUGAGUAUCCUGAGCUGCCAUACUGUGUACAAGAAGCCAAAACCAGCCCAGAGAGACAGGAGGAGAGAUGCCCAGUCAGCCCCCAACCACUCCAGCCUCUUGCUGUUCAGCUCUAUUCACCACUUGACUACAAUUCCCUAAGAGACCUACAUGCAGAACUACCUGGCCAAGCAGUUCUUCCAUACUUCGGACUAACAGAAACCAUGAGAAAUAAUGAAAUGACUGUUGUUAUUUUGAGCCACUAAGUUUUAGGGUGAUUUGUUAUACAGUAAUGACUAAAACACGGAUCUCCUGAACAACCAUCUUUUUGGUCAUUUCAAUUCAUGGAAGUUCAGACACAUGCAGAACCUCUUCACAUUAGUGCUCCUCUUACAGUCAGCAUUACUACCCACUAUAUUAGAGAGCAUGGAAAUACCUUGACCAAAUACAGUUUAAAGAAAAUAUCCAGCAAGUCAGGAUCAAAAUUCUGGCCUCUGAACUAAAGGCAGAGCCUGAACCCUAACCCCAGACAAACAGUAGAUGACACUCAUUUACCAACACCACUGAUUAUUCAGAACCAAUAGCCAAACUCACACACCCUAUUCUUCUUGUAAGAGAAGGGAACCUUACAAAUUUCAAUUUGUGUAAAAAUGUAGUCAGUGUAAAAUUUAUUCAAGUCCAAGGAUGGUAAAGGCAACUCUGGAAAAGAACAGAUAUGGUAAGUAUCCCUGCCUUAUCAAAAAUUUUAAUGAGAUCAGUGUAAAUAGAAUUGUAUAGAGCUGGUACAGGACCAGUGAAAUGAAAUGGACUCACAUGUCUACAGGACAGUGUACCAUAGAGGAAACAAUACACGUCAGUAGGAAUACAGGGCUUAAUUAAUAAAUGGUGACAACUGGCUUUUCACUUAAAAGAAUAAAUUAGAUCCUUAGCUUUAGGCCAUUCCCAAGAUUAAAUUCCUGAUGGACAAAAAUCUAAAUAUAAAAAUGAAACAAGAGUAUUAAAAGAAAAUGUAAGAGAUAUGUUUAUAACACUCAAGUGAAGAAGGCUUUUUAAGCAGGGCAUAAAACAUAAAAGUCACAAGGGAAAAAAACUGAUCAAUUUAACCAUGUCAAAAUGUAAAACUAGAGAACAAAAAAUAUACCACAAAGUUAAAAGAUAAAGCAAAUACUGGGAGAAGAUAUCUGUAAUAUAUAUAAUCAAUGAUUAGUAUCUAGAAUUCAUAAAGAACUCCUAUCAAUAGUACAAACAGAAAAAUAAGAUUUAAACAGAAAAUUCAAUAUAGGAAAUUGAAUGGCCAAUAAGGAUGUGAAAAGAUGUUCAACUACAACAGAAAUUGGUAUAAAUACCAUUUAUACCAAUCAGACUGGCAAAAUUUAAAAAGUCUUACAAUACCAAGUGUAAAUGAGAAUACAGGGCAAUGGUCAUUGUUUAACACUACCAACAGAGGUGUAAGCUGGGACCAACACUCUGGAAAGUCGUUUUACAACAUCUAAUACUUAACAAUAAGUAUAUCCUACGAUUGAGAAAUUCCUCUGCUAAGGAGACACUUGCAAGAAUGUUCUCUGCAGCAUCAUAUAACUGUAAAAAACUGGAAACAACACAAAUGUCCACCAGGAGAAUGGAUAAAUAGUGACUAUUCAUUCAACGGAGUACUCUACAAUGGUAAAGGUGAAAAAUUUAGAUAUGUAUUAAGAUAGAUAAAGUGCAAAAUAACCAAGUGAAAAAAAAAGUUUGCAGAAAUGUUACACUCAGUACACCAUUUAUGUAAAAACACACAACAAAACAAACCCUACACAUAUAGUCAGGUUUGAGAAUGCAGAAUGGAAGAAUACAUGCCAAUUUCAGAAGAGUGGCUACCUCUGAGGAAGGAAAAAAGUGAGUGGAACAAGGGAGGGCAACAAAGAGACUUCAACUUUAAUUCUAAUACUUAAUAUCUUAUGUUUAAAAAAUUAAGCUAAAAUCACAAAAUAUUAAUAUUUGUCAACCAUAAUGGUGGGUAUACAAAUAUUCUCUCCACUUUUCUAUGGCUUUAAGAUCUAUAGUCUAAAAAAAGUUAAUAAAGAAAAAAAGAACACAUCACUUUCAAACAGCAGAAUAAAGGAAAGAAAACUCGGUGUGUAUAUCUAUUAAGUCAAAAUAUAAAAAUAUGAAUAGAAAGAAUACACAUUAACUUCAGAAUAAUGAUUAUCUCUGGGAAUGGUACAAGCAAGGGGGUACAAAAGAAACACUAAUCACAUCAGUAAUAUUUUAUAUCUUUAUUUUUUUUAAUUUUUUAUUGUUAUGUUAAUCACCAUACAUUACAUCAUUAGUUUUUGAUGUAGUGCUCCAUGAUUCAUUGUUUGUGCAUAACACCCAGUGCUC